rnacentral:rRNA from 1 species
CCUACGGGAGGCUGCAGUGGGGAAUAUUGGACAAUGGGGGGAACCCUGAUCCAGCCAUGCCGCGUGUGUGAAGAAGGCCCUCGGGUUGUAAAGCACUUUCAGUGAGGAAGAACGCCUGGUGGUUAAUACCCAUCAGGAAAGACAUCACUCACAGAAGAAGCACCGGCUAACUCCGUGCCAGCAGCCGCGGUAAUGCGGAGGGUGCGAGCGUUAAUCGGAAUUACUGGGCGUAAAGCGCGCGUAGGUGGCUUGAUAAGCCGGUUGUGAAAGCCCCGGGCUCAACCUGGGAACGGCAUCCGGAACUGUCAAGCUAGAGUGCAGGAGAGGAAGGUAGAAUUCCCGGUGUAGCGGUGAAAUGCGUAGAGAUCGGGAGGAAUACCAGUGGCGAAGGCGGCCUUCUGGACUGACACUGACACUGAGGUGCGAAAGCGUGGGUAGCAAACAGGAUUAGAUACCCCUGUAGUC